UUCCGGAGAGGGGGCCCGGGCAGGAGGCGUUCCGGAGAGGGGGCCCGGGCAGGAGGCGUUCCGGAGCGGAGGCUGGUGGAGGAGCGACGAGUCCAGUCGCCGAAGUUAGCUGGCUAACUUUAGCUGCUAGCUCAUUUAAAGUAACAAAAAUGUAUUCCUUCCACUCUAUGCGGCUCGAAGGGGAUUUCUGCGAGGCUCGGGGAGUUUGUCGUGUCGACACAGCACCGCGUCGUUGAUGUGUCCUACGCUUGAGUUAUGCUUUCGCGAAAGAAAAGCAAAAACGAAGCGUCGAAACCAGCCGAGGUCCACGGGAAAUACGUGAAGAAGGAAACGUCGCCGCUCCUGAGAAUGAACUCAGAUGGAUUUCGUUAAGAAGCAGGUAGGGAUCAGGGCGUCUUGCUCAAGGAUUCUUCGAGAUCUUAUGCCCUCUUUUAUUCGCCAUGGACCCACCAUUCCAAGACGCACGGAGGUCCCCAUGCCGGAGGCGGGGCCGACGGUGUACACGGCCCCGCCCAGCAGGGAGCCGGCGGUGUCCCGCAACAAGAGCUUCCUCCGGCCCCCGGUCCAGAGACCGCCCCACGAGGUGGCCCGUCGCGAGAGCCACCGGCUGUCGGCGCCCCCCUACCUCCCCCGCAGCCUGGGGGACCUCCCCCACGAGUACGCGGGCUCCGCCCAGUCCUUCCUGACGGAGGUGACCCCCAUGUCGGAGAACGGGGACCCCGGGCGCUACUAUUUCCCCCCCCCGGCGGAACAUUACUAUGACAACCAGCAGCAGCGACAGCAGCCUCACCGGCUCCAGGAGCCCUUCCACGAGGACUAUCGCUACUACGAACCCAACGAGCACAACUUCCAAAGACUGGCCCCGCUGCACACGCCUCCGGCCCCCACGAGACCCCCCGCUGGCAUCGGCCGCAUCCAGGCCAAGUCCCUGGGGAACCUGUCCAGCCUGGCGGCCGACGACCUCCCCCUCCCGGGGGGCUGGAGCGUGGACUGGACCAUCCGGGGCAGGAAGUACUACAUCGACCACAACACCAACACCACCCACUGGAGCCACCCGCUGGAGCGCGAGGGCCUGCCGCCCGGCUGGGAGAAGGUGGAGUCGGCCGAGUUCGGCGUCUACUACGUGGACCACGUCAACAAGCGCGCCCAGUACCGCCACCCCUGCGCCCCCAGCGUCCCGCGCUACGACCAGCCCCCCAAGCUGCCCCCCCCCGUGGUGUACCAGCCCCGCCCCGCUGAGAGGAGCCAGCCCGUCUUGGUGCCGGCCAACCCCUACCACACCGCCGAGAUCCCCGACUGGCUGCAGGUCUACGCCCGCGCCCCCCUAAAGUACGACCACAUCCUGAAGUGGGAGCUGUUCCAGCUGGGAGACCUGGACACCUACCAGGGCAUGCUGAAGCUGCUCUUCAUGAAGGAGCUGGAGCACAUCGUCAAGAGCUACGAGGCGUACCGCCAGGCGCUGCUCUCCGAGGCCGACGCCCGCAAGCAGCAGCAGCAGUGGUACGCCCAGCACGCCGCCAAUCAGGCCUUCAUGGGGAACAUGUGACCGGGGGGCCACCCCCCAGGGUGUGUGUGUGUGUGUGUGUGUGUGUGUGUGUGUGAUACACCCCUUUUGAGGCGGCUGGGGUUGGGGGGGGGGGGGGGGAGGGGAGUAGUCUGUGGGGUUUCUUCGGACAUUGUGAUUGGCUCCUGGUUGGUACUUCUACCAAACGCAUCUGUGCCUUGGCCUGGUCCAAUUAGAGAGAGACAAACAAAUUCUCUCUCUCUCUCUUGCCUUGUCACUAUCUCCUCUCUCUCUCUCUCUGCAACAUUGGAAAAAUGACAAAACAGAGACCGUACCAAGAUGAGGAAGAGGGGAGGAAUACGGGCUGCAUCUUAAGACGGACGGAGGACAGAAGGACUCUUGGUUCCUCCUAAAAACUACUGUGGGAGGGCUUUGUUUUAACAGCAGCCGCUCUGCGAUUGGGCGAGAGCUGGGCCACACUGACUUCUCAUUGUUUGGGUCGAACCGCCUGCUCUUUUGAGUUGUUUUCCUACAGGAGAGAGAGAGGGGGCAGCUUCGGCAGCUUCAUUACAUUAAACGUCUAUGAAUCAUCGGCUAAUUAACGAAUAUUAUUUUACUGUACAUUCAUUGUAUAUUGUAGCCUCCAUAAACUGAAAUGAAAAUGAUUGGUCGGUUCACGGCCAGCGAGAAUGCUAAUUUUUCUUAUGUUUUUGUUAUUAUGGCUAUAUCCUUUAUAAUACAAUCUGCCAAAAGCUUCACACAUAUUUAAGUUUUGAUAUGAAACACGUGUUUUGUUGAGAGACGCUGCUGUUGAGGGAGGAAUGCCCUCUGCAUCGCUGUACAUCAGGAAUAUUAAUCUAAUGUGUAUAAAAUAAAACAGAUAAGCUAA